GAACGCAUCUAAAGUGGAUGUAAAUUACAUAGCAACGUCCACUUUUCUUAGGUACAGUCACAAACCUCUAUUUUCGCUGAUGGCGCUGAUACUACGAUUUUAUCGGCGUGUCACAAAAGUGCUUGUGGUACAUAGUAUUCUUGUAUCUCUAAAACGGACAUUAGUGCGCUAGCGUACGGGAAGUUAGAAGCGUUGCAGGAAAAAGAUCGAGAUGGCCGUUCUCAAGUUUCUCUCCGGUAGAAUACAAGACAACAAAAGCGAUGAAUAACGAAAUAUUUCAACGAAAACGAUCUAUUUGAGAUUUAAUUGGCGGUAGAGGCGAGAAGAAUACAUAAAUUAUUGACAGUUUACUCGCAUUUCUUACGUCACAGUAAAAGCGUUGAAGAUAAAACGUUUAUACAAUACAAGAACGAAAGAUCGAGUGCGAGUAUUGAAUCUUGCAGAUACAUGCUUACGUUGCAGUAAUUCCAAGUAAUUCUUGACGAUCAAACGCAUUCAUUGAUCUGCGUGUGUCAUCCAGAAUAAUGAUUCCUUAUUAUGUAAAUUACACAUAAGGAAAUGCUAUGGUGAAGAAAAAGUGUAUGAAAUUCUUUCAAUCUUUUGCAACGGAUGGUGGCAUUCGAAAAUGACUGACUCUACCUCUGCCGCCUCUUCUUUUGCCAGAAUAAUCAGCAACAUAGUGACUUUACUGAAAUGUGUUGUGCGGACGGCAUUUGUGAUAGUAAACAAUGUCUAUUGCAUACCUACGUAUGUAGUAUGGAUGAUGUUAUUGUUUCCUGUAAAAAUAUAUCAACCUCAAGUGUACUGGCGAAUCGAAGGCCUAUUUUUCCACUGGUUAUUGGCAAUGGUAUCAAUGUGGACUUGGUCUGCAGGUUACGACAUAAUAGAGCAAGGUGAUGACAUACAGAAAAUUAUAAGCGAAAAAACAUUAGUUAUAGCGAAUCAUCAGAGCACUGGUGAUGUUCCUAUAUUAAUGACAACAUUUAACGCCAAACCAAAUGUUCUACCUAAUUUAAUGUGGAUAAUGGAUAGGGUGUUUAAAUUUACUAAUUUUGGGAUAGUUUCUAUAUUGCAUCAAGAUUUUUUCAUUAUAUCGGGACGUAAACGAAGGGAAGAAAGUUUAAAACAAUUACAAAAACAUCUCAAAGAUUCGUACAUACCACGAGAUAGAAAAUGGAUGGUACUUUUCCCGGAAGGAGGCUUUUUGUGUAAAAGACGAGAGACCUCGCAAAAAUAUGCUAAGAAGAAUAAUCUGCCUAUUCUCGAGAAUGUGACUUUACCAAGAGUAGGAGCUAUGCAGAUGAUUUUCGAUACCCUUGGACCAGCAGGGAAUAGGAAUACAAAGGAUCAAUACCUGAAUAGUCGACCAAGUUUGACGGUAGUUAAUCCAGAAAUUAGUUGGGUUCUUGAUAUAACAAUAGCGUAUCCUCAAGGUAAGCCGCUUGACUUGCCUACUAUUAUAACUGGUUCAAGACCUCCGUGUGAGACGGUAUUAUUUUAUCGACUUUUCCCUAGUUCAGUGGUACCUCGCGAACCAGAACAAUUAUCCAGAUGGUUAUAUGAUAGAUGGGUAGAGAAAGAGGUACUAUUGGAACAUUUUUAUAAACAUGGAUCAUUUCUUGGCACAAACGGAGGAAGUACCAAAGUACAUCAGGAUCCAUUAAGAUUCCUAGUCCUUCAUUUAUUCUUUAUAACGUCUAGUUAUAUACAUUAUAGCAUGCUUACGUAUGUACUAUCUUGCUUUUGGUAAGAUGUUUUUAUAUUAUGUGCGACGCACGAUGGUCCAAGAAGGAAAUCACAGUAACGAAUUACGUUUCUAAGUCCGGAAAACCACUUUGGCGCGCAAUUCGAGAGACUACAAACGUGGUAUAUAAUUCACAUGAAAUUAUUUAAAACAUUCAAGAUCCAGCUUCAAUUGA